UAUAGGGAGUAACGAUAACUGCGAUUCCAACACGGCCAUCUAUGACUACGUUAUCAAUACCUGACUAGACCGUUCUAUCGCCACCAACACAACAAAGGCAGUUUCACCUGAUUAGACGACAUAUUCCACAGUUUUGCAGCAACAGAAACAGCUUGAAAUUUGAUCACGCAUAGAAGACGAUGGUGCCGCACUGUUUUCAACCUUGUAAGCGGAAUCGGAUUGAGAAGUCCGUUCUAGCUGUUGUGACGUUUAUUGUUUUCUGGUAUAUCGGAUUUAGUAAUGAGUGGAGUCAGUUGGUGAAAUCGGAUCAGGGGCAAAGAGGCGUCCUUCCGCGAUUACAGAAUAAG